rnacentral:tRNA from 1 species
ACAUUGGUGGUUUGGUGGUAGAAUUCUCACUUUCCAUGCUGGAGCACUGGGUUUGAUUCCCAGCCAGUGCA